rnacentral:rRNA from 1 species
GAUCCUGGCUUAGGAUGAACGCUGGCGGCGUGCUUAACACAUGCAAGUCGAACGGAGUUUUAACGGAAGUUUCGGAUGGAAGUUUAAAACUAGUGGCGGACGGGUGAGUAACGCGUGGGUAACCUGCCUCAUACAGGGGGAUAACGAGUUAGAAAUGACUGCUAACACCGCAUAAUAUAGCGAAACCGCAUGAUUUUGCUAUCAAAUAUUUAUAGGGUAUGAGAGUGGGCCCCGCGUCUGAUUAGGCUAGUUGGUGGGGUAAAAGCCUACCAAGGCGACGAUCAGUAGCCGGCUUGAGAGAGUGACCGGCCACAUUGGGACUGAGACACGGCCCAAACUCCUACGGGAGGCAGCAGUGGGGAAUAUUGGACAAUGGGGGAAACCCUGAUCCAGCGAACCGCCGCGUGAGUGAAGAAGUAUUUCGGUAUGUAAAGCUCUAUCAGCAGGGAAGAUAAUGACAGUACCUGACUAAGAAGCCCCGGCUAACUACGUGCCAGCCGCAGC